rnacentral:rRNA from 1 species
UACGGAGGGUGCGAGCGUUGUCCGGAAUCAUUGGGCGUAAAGGGCGCGUAGGUGGCCCGGUCAGUUUGUGGUGAAAGCGCGGGGCUCAACUCCGCGUCGGCCAUGAAUACUGCUGGGCUGGAGCACUGUAGAGGCAGGCGGAAUUCCGGGUGUAGCGGUGGAAUGCGUAGAGAUCCGGAAGAACACCGGUGGCGAAGGCGGUCUGCUGGGCAGUUGCUGACACUGAGGCGCGACAGCGUGGGGAGCAAACAGG